AGUUUGAUCCUGGCUCAGGAUGAACGCUGGCGGCGUGCUUAACACAUGCAAGUCGAACGGGGAUGCCAUUUUCGAGGCGGUUAGUUUACUAAGCGCCAAGAUGCUGGCAUCUUAGUGGCGGACGGGUGAGUAACGCGUGGGUAACCUGCCUUAUACAGGGGGAUAACACUUAGAAAUAGGUGCUAAUACCGCAUAAGCGCACGGGGCUGCAUGGCCCAGUGUGAAAAACUCCGGUGGUAUAAGAUGGACCCGCGUCUGAUUAGCUUGUUGGCGGGGUAACGGCCCACCAAGGCGACGAUCAGUAGCCGGCCUGAGAGGGUGGACGGCCACAUUGGGACUGAGACACGGCCCAAACUCCUACGGGAGGCAGCAGUGGGGAAUAUUGGACAAUGGGGGGAACCCUGAUCCAGCGACGCCGCGUGAGUGAAGAAGUAUUUCGGUAUGUAAAGCUCUAUCAGCAGGGAAGAAAGAAAUGACGGUACCUGACUAAGAAGCCCCGGCUAACUACGUGCCAGCAGCCGCGGUAAUACGUAGGGGGCAAGCGUUAUCCGGAUUUACUGGGUGUAAAGGGAGCGUAGACGGUUAUGCAAGUCUGGAGUGGAAAGGCGGGGGCCCAACCCCCGGACUGCUUUGGAAACUGUGUAACUGGA
rnacentral:rRNA from 1 species